UACGUAGGUGGCAAGCGUUGUCCGGAUUUACUGGGCGUAAAGCGUAUGCAGGCGGAUCUUUAAGUAGAAAGUGAAAGGUUGGGGCUUAACUCCAACACUGCUCUCUAUACUGGAGGUCUUGAGUGCCGGAGAGGAAGAUGGAACUGCACGUGUAGCGGUGAAAUGCGUUGAGAUGUGCAGGAACACCAAUGGCGAAGGCAAUCUUCUGGACGGAUACUGACGCUGAGAUACGAAAGCCAAGGGAGCGAACAGG
rnacentral:rRNA from 1 species